GCGAGAGUGGCGGAAUUGGUAGACGCGCUAGAUUUAGGAUCUAGUGCCUUUUAAGGCGUGGGGGUUCGAGUCCCCCCUCUCGUA
rnacentral:tRNA from 2 species